AUCAGUAAGCGGAGGAAGAGAAACUAACCAGGAUUCUCCUAGUAACGGCGAGUGAACGGAGAUUAGCCCAUCACCGAAGCCUGCGUGUGUUUGCAUGCUAGGCAAUGUGGUGUUAAGGCGUGUACCUGGGAUCGUGUCCCUACCCGAAGUCUAAAUCCGAUUGUGGCUUUGGAUUCAUUCCAUAGCGGGUGAAAGUCCCGUGCGGGUAGGACUAUUGCAAAUCACACGGUCCUCAGAUGUGCAUGCUUUCGAGUCGGAUUGCUUGAGAAUGCAGUCCAAAGUGGGUGGUAAACUCCAUCCAAGGCUAAAUACUGGCACGAGUCCGAUAGUAGACAAGUACCGUGAGGGAAAGUUGAAAAGUACUCUGAAGAGAGAGUAAAUAGUACGUGAAGCCGAUUGCAGGGAAGCUGGUGGAGUCAAGCUUCGUGCUUGAGGGAUUGAUGCUGGGAGCAGGUGUGUGAUUUGGAUGUGAGGGUGGACAACUUGGAAUAAGUUGGGCGUGUUCUGAAUGCGCUUCAAGUCAUUCCGGGAAGAGUGUUAUGAGCCAUCCUCGCUUUCCUACUCUCAGUGUUGUAUUCCUCGCUGCACAGGCCACAGUCAAUAGGUGCAUGCGGAAUGAGGGCCUAACUGUGCUUCGGCGGGUGCAAACUCUCCGGGUGCAGGAUGGCAGGUGCUGUCUUCAGGCCUCGUGUCUGUUGAUGGUUGUUGUGGUUUUGACCGGCUGGUCUUCAUACCGUAUUGUGCUUAUUGUCUUUAUAUGGCGCGGCUUCCUUGGAAGUUGCGCUGUGAAGAACUGUGGCUCUGAGGUAGAC
rnacentral:sRNA from 1 species